GGAGAGGUGCGUGAGCGGUUGAAACGGCACCCCUGGAAAGGGUGUAGGGUGCAAGCCCUCGAGGGUUCGAAUCCCUCUCUCUCCGCCA
rnacentral:tRNA from 1 species